rnacentral:rRNA from 1 species
GAUGAACGCUGGCGGCGUGCCUAAUACAUGCAAGUCGAGAGAACGGACGAGAAGUAUGCUUCUAUGAUGUUAGCGGGGGACGGGAGAGUAACACGUGGAUAACCUACCUAUAAGACUGGGAUAACAACGGGAAACCGGAGCUAAUACCGGAUAAUAUUUUGAACCGCAAGGGUCAAAAGUGAAAGACGGUCUUGCUGUCACUUAUAGAUGGAUCCGCGCUGCAUUAGCUAGUUGGUAAGGUGAAGGAUUACCAAGGCAGCGAUGCAUAGCCGACCUGAGGGGGUGGUCCGCUAGCUGGUCUCUGAGGCUGAUUCGCGACUCUGGCAGUGAGACACGGCACGGAAUCUUCCGCGAUGGGGCAGUGCCUAACGGUGCAACGCCGCCUGAGUGCUGAUGGUCUUCGGACCGUUGAACUCUGUUAUUAGGGAAGAUGUAAUGUGUAAGUAACUGUGCUCAUCUUGACGGUACCUAGUCAGAAAGCCCCGGCUAACUCCGUG